GCCGCAGCUAGCUCGCCGACUCGCAUCGUCUGUUUGCUGAAACUUCGUUUUUACGAUCUGGCCUGAGGCGUCAGCUUGUUCAAACUUGCAUCAGCUGGAAACUGUUGCUUUCAGGUAGACCAAUGGGUGUCUCAUCAAACCAUACCUUCGACAGUUAAUUUGCUGUUCAUUGUUUGGUGAUUUCCAGAGGUGUUGCGUGCCUGAUUUUAAGAGUGAACAGAUUCUUACCUCUUCAAACGCAUCUGUGGUGGACUGUUACUUUCUAUUCCAAUUGUUCACUCUACUGGGGACGAGAUGCUCAGUGUCUGACUGUCUGGUGAAGGGCUACU